GCCAGUGUAGUGUAGUGGUUUCAGCAAUGGACUGUGACUCUGAAGACCAGGGUUUGAAUCCUUGCUCAGCCA